UGCUACUAUCUGAUAGAUGUUGAGAAUAAAACAGAAUAACGGGUUAUGUUAGCGUGUUCGGAAUUUGGUUUGUGGUUUAAUAUAUUUCUCUGUUGUCCGGUAUAUAACGGUUUUUCAGUUGUUGUAUUUUUGUGUGGAUUAAUUGCUUUCACCACGUGUCUCCCAAAUAUAAUUGUAUUAGGCACGGAAGAAUGCUAUGGUGUGGUCUUUAACCUCAGUUUUAAACAGAUCCCACUUGACACCAAUAUCAUUGACACCAGACAACGUAGCUGAAGAAACAAUAGUAAUUGGAUCUUAUCGUGUAAAUUUUGGAAUAGUGAUUUCGUAAAACUUGGUGUUCUAUUAAUGGAAAUUGAGCUCUGCGUAUAAAGAAUUGACAUGCUUUGAACAGGAAAAAGUAAAAGGAUGUAAUAGCAUAUUACUGAACAAAAGGAAAAUAGACAAUGACAGUUGUGCGAAUAAAACGGAUAAAACGAUGUGAGCUUUUUUGGGUAAUAAAUUGUAGAGUUCAAUAUCUGGAACAUAAACAAGAUUUUACCUGUUGGACACAGAAUAGGUACUAUUAAUAGAUUUAUUUUUUCCCAAGAUUUCUGUUUUCUCUUCUUGGGAGUAAUUGUUAUAAAAUGUUUAAAUUUCUGUAUAAUUAUUAUAUUUUCUUUUCUAUUAAAAAAAAAAUUGUACAAACUGCAAUUGUUUUGUAUUAGAUUAAUAUAAUUAUAAUUAAAGUAUUUUAAAUUGA